CAGGACUCCUAGCUGCAGGUCGUGCUGUCAUUCCUGUGAUUUAUCCCUGAGAAAAGCUACCUGAUAAUACACCUGAGCAUCUUAGUAAAUUCCCAUAGUCUUUGUGAAAAUGGUACAACAAUUAGUGAAAAGAGCUGCUCGUGGCCAUAAAUUCCUCUUGGAGAGGACCUAAUAGAGAGCUAAGGACUUGGUAGGCCCAGCAAAGUUUCUGGGGACAUGCAGAGCUUCACGUCAUUCCUUAUAACUCAUCCAGUUUUAAAUGCAGACCUGUAUCACUUGUCACGUAACUGGAGCUUCCUCAAGUGAGAAGUACAAAAUCUAAACAGUUCCGUGCUGCUUCAGAGCAAAAGAUUUGAGUCAGCCCCCAAAGAGAUAAUACUAAAAAUCAGUUCAAACCCAUACAAGGGAUAAAUACAUACAACUCAUUUGUUGUUUUCAAAGUGAACUAAAAAUUGGCUUAUGUCCAUGUCCUACCUCGGCAUCUUCCCAAGAUGUGUCCUUGACUGACGGGGCAUCACCAGAGAUGUCCAUUACAAUCCUACUGACGUCUUCCCAUUUCAGCAGCCCGAAGAAAAUGACAACCAUCUGGAAGCCAGUGGAGAUAUUUGAAUGGGGAAAAUCUUUUCCUAACCUGACUCAAGAUCUGACCCAACAGACCCGUGUUAGUGAGGGCUUUGUGUUAUGGAUCUGAUGGACAGAUCGAAAUUGUGCUACAGAGAAAGUACUUUGGGACCUUUGUGGAAAAAGACAUUUCUAGAGAUUUGUCCAUGGGAAGCAAAUUAAGCACCUGGACAAGUCUCUGUCUUCCAAUCAUGAAGGAGCCCGCAGAACUCUCCUGCCUGCCUGCCUGCUCCCUGCACAGUUACGCUUGCUUCACCCAAUAGAUGUGAGCCUGGCCAGCCUUUUCUGAAUUCAAUCCUGUUACAAAGAAUGUAGCAGUUUUCUACCUAAACUUUGCUAUUACUGGAUCAUUGCGCAGUAAAGCAAAUUCCACAGCAAUUUUAAUCUGCUCUCAUUGUCAUUGAAAUAACUCUAGAUUUUCACAAGCUUUCUUAAAAGAAAAAAUAGUGUGCAUAUUGUUACACUUUUACACUCUUACACACCAAAGUGAAAGGUCAUGCCAUUGCCUCGAACAGCCACAUCUGUAAAACAAAAUAGUACUCACAUGCAAAUAUCCA